rnacentral:rRNA from 1 species
GACGAACGCUGGCGGCGUGCCUAAUACAUGCAAGUUGAGCGCUGAAGGUUGGUACUUGUACCAACUGGAUGAGCAGCGAACGGGUGAGUAACGCGUGGGGAAUCUGCCUUUGAGCGGGGGACAACAUUUGGAAACGAAUGCUAAUACCGCAUAAAAACUUUAAACACAAGUUUUAAGUUUGAAAGAUGCAAUUGCAUCACUCAAAGAUGAUCCCGCGUUGUAUUAGCUAGUUGGUGAGGUAAAGGCUCACCAAGGCGAUGAUACAUAGCCGACCUGAGAGGGUGGUCGGCCACAUUGGGACUGAGACACGGCCCAAACUCCUACGGGAGGCAGCAGUAGGGAAACGUCGGCAAUGGACGAAAGUCUGACCGAGCAACGCCGCGUGAGUGAAGAAGGUUGUCGGGUCGUAAAACUCUGUUGGUAGGGAAGAAAGUUGGUGAGAGUGGAAAGCUCAUCAAGUGACGGUAACUACCCAGAAAGGGACGGCUAACUACGUG